UGGCAGAGUUAUGCAAGUGUUUCCUCUAAUCCUCCAGCAGCUACACCUGUGUGUCCAUCCAUGAGCAGCCUUCCACUGUCACCCUAUCUCCCUUGGAGCCACUUAGCGCUGCAUACGUCGGACAGCUCCCGUUGCACCGCAGCUCAUUCAUUUCGUGGCAAUCCGUCGACGUGACGAGACAACCCGACCAAUCCGGUUUUCCUCUCUCUCUUUUUAAAAAAAAAACUCCCGUUGCCCGAGUAGGGGGCGGGACUGGUGGCAGCUUCUCCCCCGUAGGCCGCCUGUGUGCCGCGCUGCACUGGGACAGAAUAGGGCACAAGUGUCGCUUUCAUCUUGUAUGCUACUGCUACUGCCGCUGCUGCUGUGUGCUUUAAUCGCAAGGCUUAUUGGCGAGGCAGGUGCUUGUUGGCUGUGCCAGUUCUACUACUGCAUCUGAUAAGCGCCAGGACUUGGCAUAUCAAGGGCGUUGCACAGGACUGAGCGCUGAGACGCUCUUACUAUGGAAGAGGAGAAAUACUUACCGGAGCUGAUGGCAGAGAAAGACAGUUUGGACCCUUCCUUUGUUCAUGCCUUGCGCCUCCUGGAUGAUGAGAUUGUAAAAUUUCAAGAUUCAGAGGGAAACAAAGAAGAUGGGGAAAAGAAAUACUUAGACAUAAUCAGCAACAAAAACAUAAAGCUUUCAGAAAGAGUACUAAUACCUGUUAAACAGUAUCCCAAGUUCAAUUUUGUGGGGAAGUUGCUUGGCCCAAGAGGCAACUCUUUGAAGAGGUUGCAAGAAGAGACUGGAGCAAAAAUGUCAAUCUUAGGAAAUGGCUCAAUGAGAGACAAAAUCAAGGAAGAAGAAUUAAGAAAGAGCGGGGAAUCAAAAUAUGCACACUUAGGUGAUGAGCUUCAUGUAUUAAUUGAAGUGUUUGCUCCACCAGGAGAAGCUUAUUCUCGCAUGAGCCACGCAUUAGAAGAGAUUAAAAAAUUUCUUGUUCCGGAUUACAAUGAUGAGAUUCGGCAGGAGCAGUUAAGAGAGCUGUCCUACUUAAAUGGAUCUGAUGAUUCAAAUAGAGGAAAGGGGGCAAGAGGUAGAGGAAUCAGAGUACCGUCAACUCCUUCUAGGAAUCGUGGAGGUGUUACCCCUGCUUAUUCAGGACGAGGAGCUUCUACUGCAAGAGGAGCACCUAUAACACGUGGCACCUUAUCACUUUCUACUGUAGCCCGUGGUAUCCCCACUCCAAGAGCAAAGGGUGCACCAACAACACCUGGAUAUAGACUGCCACCACCACUCACAAUUGAGGCCUAUGAUGAUUAUGGCUAUGAUGAUGGCUUUGGAGAGGAUUAUGAUGAACAGAGUUAUGACGUCUAUGAAAACAAUUAUAACUCACAAGCAAAGAGUGUAUCAGAAUAUUAUGACUAUGAACAUGGUACAAAUGAAGAAAGCUACAAUCAUUAUGACCAAGAAGAAUGGUCCAAGUUGAGAUCCACUUUAAAGGCACCACUUCAAAGAGCACCUAGAGCAGGCUACCGAGAACACCCAUAUGGCAGAUACUGAAGGUCUUCAGCAUUUUUGGCCAUCUGUUAGACACUUAUUAGCCUUUGGCCUCUCCAUAAGCAGCAGCAAGACAAGGAUGCCUAAAAUGUCUCACUUUUAAAACUACAAAAUGAACCCAAGCCUGCUAUAAGUAUUUUGUGUAACAUUUUUAAACUGUAUUAAUAACUUUUGCUUGUUAAACUAUUUAAUAAUUAACUUCCUAAACUGUUAUCUGAAUCUUAGGUAGAUGCCACUAAUGUACAAGUUGCUAAUGGGACAAUGGACCUAGCAUGAUAAAUUGCAUCUAAACUUUACUCUAAGCUUGAUUUUGCUAAACCAAAACUUUGACUGACUUGUCUGUACUACUAGCUUGUCUCUCGUGAGAAUGUAACGGAGUUAAAAGAGGUAAGAGUAUGACUUACCACCAUUAGACUGUCCUAAUGCCUAGUUCUUCAAACCUGGAAUUUCCCCAAAUAUUAAAUAUCCUAUUUAACAUGGGAGCAUUGUUUAGAUACCAUUCUGUUUUUCACUCUCAGGAGUGGGCUGACUGCAUCUGCUUAAUAAAUUAUUUAUCUUUACAAUAAUCAUCAGUGUCACUUCCCCGUUGUUGCUAUUUAACUACAACUUCAAAAACUGUAUUUGUAAUUUUCAGUGCUAAAUAUCACCAACCUUGAAAGCAGUUUAGAGGGCUGAUAUUUCUUUUGAGACUAUCAGACUUGAUGGCUGAUGAUUAUUAAGGAAAAUGUCGCAGGAUUCAAAGGAUGACUAAACGAUAAACAGAUGUCCUGCGCUCAUAAGCUGGAUGAAAGUGAAGUUAGAGUUUAAGCCAGUUGCAUGUGUAGAUGGAAGACAUGGAAGUAACAUCUCAUCAAGGCAGGUGGUAAUUCCAGUCAUGGACUAUUUACAGCUUACCCCUUAUGCAAAGAACAUGCACCCUUGUUGCUAGUUUACAGAAAUGUUAAUUGCAAUUUUAUUGGUGCAAUAUUGUGUCUUCAUUAAUUGUAGAGUGGAAUCUACUGUAACAAUGAUUAUGGUUAACCUGGGUAGCAAAUAUUUUUAAAGCUAAGAGCACACGGUUUUAAAAAUGCCCCUCGAUUAACUUGAGUUGAAAUCGCCACUUAAUGUGCCAUUACCCUAAGUGACCUGUCCUUUAAAUGAAGUGAAAAUAAAGGAAUGCAUUUAUAGAUCAUUAGCACUGGUUUAAUCCAUCUAAUCCUUAUUGCUGCAGCGAAUCCUUGAUUGUUUAUGAAUAUCAAGAAUGUUGAAAUACUCAGCAGGAAAUGGAGAGAAAUCCAGAGGAUUUGCUGUGGGAAAAACAAUAUCACAACAAAUGUGUUCUUAAGAAAUACAGAGGAUAAGAUGACAGGCAGUGUGCUAGCUGGGUGCUUGGGUGAGCAGCCCAGUUAACCACGGAGCAGAUCAAAUGUGAAGCUAUUAUUGCAGGUGAUGACAGUGGAGAAGAAUUAUUGCGCUUUGCAAGCAACCGAAAUCCUUGUCAAUUAGAUACUAACACCUAAAAUUAAACUUUUUUUUAAAUAUAUAACAAUAUUGUCUUUGCUUGAGCUUUAUCAUUUUGCCCUAAAAGUAUUUCCUGAUGCUUCUACAUUACCUAUUAAAACCCCAAAUGUUCCUCUAGGAGGGGGCUGCCAUAUUUGUGCAGCAGUAAUCUGUUGGCAUUUGAAAUUGACAGUUUAAGAAGGGACAUUGAGGUUGACAAAACAGUCAGGUUUAGGAACUUCAAGCAACAAUUACUUACAAAAGCAAACCUAUCUGCGAAAAAUGAGCAACAUGAUCUGUAUGUAACUUGUAUAUCCAUGAAUACAUACAUAAUUAAUUCAUCUGAGAAUCAUUUGUUCAUGUCAGUAUCACUUUAAGAUGCAGUUAAGCUAACUGCACCCUGACUGCCUUUUCUCUAUAUAGUUUACAUUUACAGGGGCCUUACUGCUCCCUGCAUCUUGCACCACAUUACAAAUUUUGACACCUAUGUGCCCAGCCCACUAGACACACGCAGCAUUGUAUUCAUAGGGGAGCACAGGUUUGUUUUUCUUAUAUCACCCUGUCCUGCACUUUGUAAAUUAGCAGACCAAUGUAUUCAAAAGUAUAUCACUAUAUUUUUUGUUGCCCUACCCUCCAAUCAGUCUGUAGCCUCUUUGGGGCAAGGCUUUUCCUCCACUUAUAUUUAUUAUCUGUAUUGUCAUUAUUUGUCACCAUAUUGUAUUAUUGCAAAACAUCUAAAGCCUUACUUUGCGAUACUAAUAAACGUAUGCAUAUAUUCAUACAGUUCUAAAAUUAA